rnacentral:rRNA from 1 species
AACGAACGCUGGCGGCAGGCUUAACACAUGCAAGUCGAGCGCCCCGCAAGGGGAGCGGCAGACGGGUGAGUAACACGUGGGAACGUACCCUUUUCUACGGAAUAACCCAGGGAAACUUGGACUAAUACCGUAUACGACCUUCGGGGGUAAGAUUUAUCGGAUAAGGAACGGGCCGAGUUGGAUUAGCUAGUUGGUGGGGGAAAGGCCUACCAAGGCGAGAAUCCAUAGCUGGUCUGAGAGGAUGAUGAGCCAGACUGGGACUGAGACACGGCCCAGACUCCUACGGGAGGCAGCAGUGGGGAAUAUUGGACAAUGGGCGCAAGCCUGAUCCAGCCAUGCCGCGUGAGUGAUGAAGGCCCUAGGGUUGUAAAGCUCUUUCACCGGUGAAGAUAAUGACGGUAACCGGAGAAGAAGCCCCGGCUAACUUCGUGCCAGCAGCCGCGGUAA